AUGAACGCUAGCGGUAUGCCUGAGAUAUGCAAGUCGAGCGUAGGUUUAUUGGUUCCGCAAGGAAUCGAUAAACUUCAGCGGCGGACGGCUUAGUAACACGUAGGAAUCUGCCCCAGAAUAGAGGAUGGUCCUCCGAAAGGAGGGGUAAUACUUUAUGGUCCCGCAAGGGUAAAGUACUUAACUGUACGUUCUGGGAUGAGCCUGCGUCCUAUCAGGUAGUUGGUGGGGUAACGGCCUACCAAGCCAACGACGGGUAGCUGGUCUUAGAGGAUGAUCAGCAAGAGGGGGACUGAGACACGGCCCCCACUCCUACGGGAGGCAGCAAUCAGGAAUAGUCGGCAAUGGACGAAAGUCUGACCGCGCGAUACCGUGUGUAGGAAGAAGAUCUAAUCGAUCGUAAACUACUGUGGUAGGGGAAGAAGUUAGCCGUAAGGCUAAUUGACGGUACCCUAUUAGAAAGGAGCCGCUAACUGCGUGCCAGAAGCGUCGGUAAUACGUGGGCUUCAAGCGUUAUCCGGUUUUAUUGGGCGUAAAGGGUCGUGUAGGUGGUUAGGUAAGUUAUCUUUUAAAGAUCUGGGCUCAACCCAGGGAAAGGGGAUAAUACUACUUGGCUAGAGUUUUCUUUAGGGUAAACGGAACUGAAGGAGGAGUAGUGAAAUGCGUUGAUACCUUCGGGAACACCAGUGGCGAAGGCGGUUUACUGGAAGGAGACUGACACUGAGACACGAAAGCUAGGGGAGCGAAGCAGAUUAGAGACCUGCGUAGUCCUAGCCCUAAACGAAUGACUGCUAGCUGCAUGAUUCCAAUUUAUUGGCUUCGUGUGGCGAAGGUAACCCGUUAAGCAGUCCGCCUGGGGAGUACGGCCGCAAGGCUAAAACUCAAAGGAAUUGGCGGGGAGGCACACAACCAGUGGAACAUGUGGUUCAAUUCGAUACGAACCGAAGAACCUCACCAGGGCUUGAAAUGCUAGCGUCCUAUCUUGAUGAAAGUCGAGAAAUUCGCAAGAAGGCUAGCACAGGUGCUGCAUGGCUGUCGUCAGUUCGUUCCGUGAGGAGUGCCCUUAAGUGGGACAACGAACGCAACCCCCAUCUUGUGUUAAAACUGUCACAAGAGACUGCCCUUACUUUGUAGGGGAGGAAGGAGGGGCAGACGUCAAGUCAGCAUGGUCCUUAUGCCCUGGGCUACACACAUGUUACAAUGUCAAGUAACAACGAGCUUUGCAAGCGCGCAAGCGCAAGCCAAUCUCUGAAAUCUUGACUCAGUGGGGAUUGAGGUCUGCAACCCGACCUCAUGAACACGGAAUUGGUAGUAAUCGCGGGUCAGCUACACCGCGGUGAAUACGUUCUUGCCUCUUGCACACACCGCCCGUCAAGCCAACAAAGUCGGUAGAAUUUGAACUCUGUCGUAAGAUGGAGGAGGAUUUUAUUGGCGAUGAGGGUU
rnacentral:rRNA from 1 species